AAGCCACGUCACGGUUCCCUUUCUUCUAAGAAGUUUGUCAAACUUGUGUCAUUUAGAGGAAGUAAAAGUCGUAACAAUGGUUUCCGUAGGUGAACCUGCGGAAGGAUCAUUA
rnacentral:rRNA from 1 species